UACGUAGGGUGCAGGCGUUAAUCGGAAUUACUGGGCGUAAAGGGCGCGUAGGCGGCCUUCUAAGUCGAACGUGAAAUCCCCGGGCUCAACCCGGGAACUGCGUCCGAUACUGGAAGGCUUGAAUCCGGGAGAGGGAUGUGGAAUUCCAGGUGUAGCGGUGAAAUGCGUAGAUAUCUGGAGGAACACCGGUGGCGAAGGCGACAUCCUGGACCGGUAUUGACGCUGAGGCGCGAAAAGCCAGGGGAGCAAACGGG
rnacentral:rRNA from 1 species